GACGAAGGGGGCUAGCGUUGCUCGGAAUCACUGGGCGUAAAGGGUGCGUAGGCGGGUAUUUAAGUCAGAGGGGAAAUCCUGGAGCUCAACUCCAGAACUGCCUUUGAUACUGAGGAUCUUGAGUUCGGGAGAGGUGAGUGGAACUGCGAGUGUAGAGGUGAAAUUCGUAGAUAUUCGCAAGAACACCAGUGGCGAAGGCGGCUCACUGGCCCGAUACUGACGCUGAGGCACGAAAGCGUGGGGAGCAAACAGG
rnacentral:rRNA from 1 species